rnacentral:rRNA from 1 species
CUUUUCGUGGGGGAAAACGUAAGGAAACUUACGCUAAUAAAGCUUUGACCUACAGUUGAAAGUGGGGGACCGCAUGGCCUCAUGCUGGGGGAAGAGCCUAUCUCCGAUAAAAUUCUUGGCUGGGUAAGGGCCCACCAAGGCCACUAUGGGUAGGUGGUCUGAGCCGAUGAUCACCCACAGGGGAACUGAGACAAUUUCCAAACUCCGGCGGGAGGCAGAACUGGGAAAUAUUGGAGAAUGGGGGCAGGCUUGAUCCUGCCAUACCUCUUGGGUGAAGAAAAACUUCGGGUUGUAAAGCCAUUUUGUUGGAAAAAAAUUCCUGCCAAUCAACACUCGGUGGGGAUGGGGGUACCCAAUGAUUAAACUCCGGGUAAGUUCGUGCCACCUCCCGGGGUAAUUCAAAGGGUGCAAACUUUACUCGUAUUUACUG